rnacentral:rRNA from 1 species
CUACGGGCGGCAGCAGUGGGGAAUAUUGGACAAUGGGGGCAACCCUGAUCCAGCAAUGCCGCGUGUGUGAAGAAGGCCUGCGGGUUGUAAAGCACUUUCGGUUGGGAGGACUGCUUCUAGCACUAAUAUUGUUGGAAGUUGACGUUACCUUCAGAAGAAGCACCGGCUAACUCCGUGCCAGCAGCCGCGGUAAUACGGAGGGUGCAAGCGUUAAUCGGAAUUACUGGGCGUAAAGCGCGCGUAGGCGGCUAGAUCAGUCGGGUGUGAAAGCCCCGGGCUUAACCUGGGAACUGCAUCCGAUACUGUCUAGCUUGAGUACAGGAGAGGAGAGUGGAAUUCCACAUGUAGCGGUGAAAUGCGUAGAUAUGUGGAGGAACACCAAUGGCGAAGGCAGCUCUCUGGCCUGAUACUGACGCUGAGGUGCGAAAGCGUGGGGAGCAACCAGGAUUAGAUACCCCAGUAGUC